UACGGGGGGGGCAAGCGUUGUUCGGAAUUACUGGGCGUAAAGGGCUCGUAGGUGGCCAACUAAGUCAGACGUGAAAUCCCUCGGCUUAACCGGGGAACUGCGUCUGAUACUGGAUGGCUUGAGUUUGGGAGAGGGACGCGGAAUUCCAGGUGUAGCGGUGAAAUGCGUAGAUAUGUGGAGGAACACCUGUGGCGAAGGCGCCUUGCUGGCCAAUUUCUGACGCUGAGGCGCGAAAGCGUGGGGAGCAAACAGG
rnacentral:rRNA from 1 species